rnacentral:tRNA from 1 species
AAAGAAUUAGUUAAAAAAAAACAUUAGUAUGUCAUACUAAAAUUAUUAGAAUAAACCUAAUAUUCUUUU